CUUCUAAAUGAAGAGCAACAAAACUGAAUUCACACCUAACAUGGCAAUGGUACAGUAACCAAAGGGGCAGUCCUAUUAGCAGAACUGUAUCUGCACUCCAGCUGAAAAUGCAAGUCCAAACCCGUCACUGCUCAGCUCCUAGGGUCUGUUCUCUCAAAGAUUUCAACUGGGGGCCUACAAGUAUACUUGGAAAUUUCUUUGAGAAAUGGAUUUCCCAGGGAAGUGUCCAUGGGUGAGGAGCAGCAUCAGUAUCUAGGGGUGCACUUUGGGAGGCCGAGGAGGGAGGAUCACUUGAGCUCAGGAGUUCAAGACCAGCCUGGCCAACAUGGCGAAACCCCACCUCUACUAAAAGUACAAAAAUUAGCCGGGCGUGGUGGCAGGUGCCUGUAAUGCCAGGUACUCAAAAGCCUGAGGCAGAAGAAUUUCUUGAACCCAGGAGGUGGAGGCUGCAGUUAGCCGAGAUUGUGCCACUACACUCUAGCCUGGGUGACAGAGCCAGAUUCCUCCCCCCCAAAAAAAAAAAAAAAAAAUCUAGGGGUGUAACCACAUAUCUACCUCUUCCCUCCUCUGGAAAACCUCAGGUCAUCCUCACCUCCUCCACUCUCGGCCUCAUCAACAGCUGUUAACAGAAAAGGCUGAACUGGGCGCAGUGGCUCAUGCCUGUAAUCCCAACACUUUGGGAGACAGAGACGGGUGGAUCACUUGAAGUCAGGAGUUUGAGAGCAGCCUGGCCAAUAUGGUGAAACCCCAUCUCUACUAAAAAUACAAAAAAAUUAGCCGGGUGUGGUGGUGUGCACCUGUAGACCCACCUACUCAGGAGGCUGAUGCAGGAGAAUCACUUGAACCUGGGAGGUGGAGGCUGCAGUGAGCCAAGAUUGUGCCACUGCACUCCAGCCUGGAUGACAGAGCGAAACUUCAGCUCAAAACAAAAACGGCCAGGCGUGGUGGCUCACGCCUGUAAUCCCAGCAGUUUGGGAGGCCAAAGUGGAUGGAUCACCUGAGGUCAGGAGUUUGAGACCAGCUUGGCCAACAUGGUGAAACCCCGUCUCUACUGAAAACACAAAAAUUAGCCGGGUGUGGUGGAGCGUGCCUGUAGUCCCAACUACUAAGGAGGCCGAAGCAGGAGAAUCGCUUGAACCCGGGAGGUGGAGGUUGCAGUGAGCCAAGACCACGCCACUGCACUCCAGCCGGAGCAACAAGAGCAAAACUCUGUCUCAAAAAAACAAAAACAAACAAAAAAACAGAAAGGGCUUAACAGAGGACUAUGCUACUGUUUUCAAGGACAGGAGUUAUUUUCUGCUGGGGACAAUGAGCUAUUGUGAUUCCCCCUUCCAAUGUGUUAAGGGGCAGAAUAACAGUGUCCAGACUAGAAAAAAUAAGACAAGAGUUUGGUGAGGGGAGUUUCCCCAAGCAAAUGCACACACAUGCACCACAUCAUAUGAUUCCGUUCUCAUUCCCCAAUGAUCACUUCUCUGUGCUGAGGUUCCUGCAGGGGCAUAAGGAGGGCUGGACCACGGGAGAAAGCUGGUUUGCUUCUAUUGGUCAGUGGAGCUACCCAAAGAUGGGGCAAACCCCUCUGGGAUAGACAGAUUAUCAUCUUGUAUACAGAGAAUUAAUUAGGUUCACAAAAUAACCCUAUCAAUCACCAAGCCCUUGCAAUUCUAGAAUUCUGGUGCCAGGCUCCUACUUCCAAAGGAAUUAUUCCUCAAAUGGUCUUUAGAUGAGCGAGCUGCAUUCAACCUCUGCCCUGCAUCCCAACUACCAUCUUGAUUCUUAGCUAAUUUUUACUUGCAAACAGCAGAAGCAAUGGGCCAACUCACUGAAAAGACAAGAAUAAAGUGAGGAUUUUUUUUUAGACCAUAAUACCCUUUGUCUUCCUAGAAGUAAUCCCUGGAGCCUGCCUGCCCUGUGUCCAGCACUAAUCUAUGAGCUUGUGAUAUUUCUUUCUUUAAGCUAGUCAUAUUUAGCAGUGGGGCUUGUGAUAUUUCUGGUUUCCUGAUCUCUCUCCUCUUCAAAUAAACGCAAGAUAUCUACGC
rnacentral:lncRNA from 1 species